AACGAACGCUGGCGGCAUGCCUAACACAUGCAAGUCGAACGAGACCUUCGGGUCUAGUGGCGCACGGGUGCGUAACGCGUGGGAACCUGCCCUUAGGUUCGGAAUAACUCCCCGAAAGGGGUGCUAAUACCGGAUAAUGUCUUCGGACCAAAGAUUUAUCGCCUUUGGAUGGGCCCGCGUUGGAUUAGCUAGUUGGUAGGGUAAAAGCCUACCAAGGCGACGAUCCAUAGCUGGUCUGAGAGGAUGAUCAGCCACACUGGGACUGAGACACGGCCCAGAAUCCUACGGGAGGCAGCAGUGGGGAAUAGUGGAAAAUGGGCGAAAGCCUGAUCCAGCAAUGCCGCGUGAGUGAUGAAGGCCGUAGGGUUGUAAAGCUCUUUUACCCGGGACGAUAAUGACAGUACCGGGAGAAUAAGCUCCGGCUAACUCCGUG
rnacentral:rRNA from 1 species